rnacentral:rRNA from 1 species
CCUACGGGAGGCAGCAGUGGGGAAUAUUGCACAAUGGGGGAAACCCUGAUGCAGCGACGCCGCGUGAGCGAUGAAGUAUUUCGGUAUGUAAAGCUCUAUCAGCAGGGAAGAAAAUGACGGUACCUGACUAAGAAGCCCCGGCUAACUACGUGCCAGCAGCCGCGGUAAUACGUAGGGGGCAAGCGUUAUCCGGAUUUACUGGGGGUAAAGGGAGCGUAGACGGCUUGGCAAGCCAGAGGUGAAAUGCUGGGGCUCAACCCGAGGACUGCAUUUGGAACUGUCAGGCUAGAGUGUCGGAGAGGGAGGCGGAAUUCCUAGGGUAGCGGUGAAAUGCGUAGAUAGUAGGAGGAACACCAGUGGCGAAGGCGGCCUGCUGGACGAUGACUGACGUUGAGGCUCGAAAGCGUGGGGAGCAAACAGGAGUAGAUACCCUUGUAGUC